rnacentral:rRNA from 1 species
CCCCACAUAAGGUCCCCGAGCCCAAACCUCCCUGAGUACCAAUCCAUGUUGCUUCCCCAGGCCAGCAGCCAUUGCUGCCCGUCCUACCAUUCCUGGGUCACAGGACGGAGGUGCCUGGGGAGGGGUCCAAAAGCAGAAACUCUGGUGCACACAUGCUGUCUGAGUUGGUGGGCCAUGUGCCCGGUUAAUUGAAUUAUUUAAAACUUUCAACAACGGAUCUCUUGGCUCUCGCAUCGAUGAAGAACGCAGCGAAAUGCGAUAAGUAAUGUGAAUUGCAGAAUUCAGUGAAUCAUCGAAUCUUUGAACGCACAUUGCGCCCUUUGGCAUUCCUUAGGGCAUGCCUGUUCGAGCGUCACUAGCAACCAUCUCACGGAUCCCGUGGUCUUGGUGGAAGCUUUCUGCGGCCCCUUUGGCUGCAGCAAAGCUCCGCUGAAAUGUAUAAGCAGGACAAACAGGCCCCGGCGAGUGACUUAGUAAGUGUCGUGAAGACGUAGACCAGUCAGCAGCCAGGCCUUGCCCUGUUCACCCAGACCCCCCCCAUCUGGUGUGAUCUCUUGGUUGACCUCGGAUCAGGUAGGCAUACCCGCUGAACUUAAGCAUAUCAAUAAGCGGAGGAAAAGAAACCAACAGGGAUUGCCCCAGUAACGGCGAGUGAAGCGGCAAGAGCUCAAAUUUGAAAUCUGAUGCCUAUGGUGUCCGAGUUGUAAUUUGGAGAGGCAUCUUUGGGAUGGGCCCAGCCUAAGCGCCUUGGAACAGCGCGUCAUAGAGGGUGAGAAUCCCGUUCUCGGCUGGAUGUUCCCUCCCGUAAAAAGCGCCUUCGAUGAGUCGAGUUGUUUGGGAAUGCAGCUCAAAAUGGGUGGUAAAUUUCAUCUAAAGCUAAAUAUUGGCGAGAGACCGAUAGCGCACAAGUAGAGUGAUCGAAAGAUGAAAAGCACUUUGAAAAUAGAGUCAAACAGUACGUGAAAUUGUUGAAAGGGAAGCGCUUGAGACCAGACUCAGCCUCUGACAAACAAUUGUCCUUCUGGGCGGUGCACUUGUCUUGGGCUGGGCCAGCAUCAGUUGGGACGGCGGGACAAAGGCCUGGGGAAUGUGACUCCCCUGAGGAGUGUUAUAGCCCCAAGUGCAAUGCUGCCCGACCUGACUGUGGACCGCGCUUGGCUAGGAU